rnacentral:rRNA from 1 species
GCGCACCAGGCGCGAAUCCUCCGCAAUACACAAAGUGUGACGGGGCCAUCCCGAGUGCCGUCCGCUGAGGACGGCUUUUCCCCAGUGUACAUAGCUGGGGGAAUAAGAGAGGGCGAAGCCUGGUGUCAGCCGCCGCGGUAAGUACCAGCUCUCCGAGUGGUGGGACGCUUAUUGGGCCUAAAGCAUCCGUAGCCGGCUAGGCAAGUCCUCCGUUAAAUCCAACGAUUCAAUCGUUGGGCUG